rnacentral:rRNA from 1 species
AGAGUUUGAUCCUGGCUCAGGAUGAACGCUGGCGGCACGUCUGACACAUGCAAGUCGAACGACAAGCCGGUGCUUGCACCGGUGGAGGAGUGGCGAACGGCUGAGUAACACGUAGGAACCUACCCCUUGGUUUGGGAUAACGGAUCGAAAGGACCGCUAAUACCAAAUAUAUCCUUCGGGAGGAAAGCUCCGGCGCCAGAGGAGGGGCCUGCGGCGUAUUAGCUUGUUGGUGGGGUAAUGGCUCACCAAGGCGAUGAUGCGUAGCUGGUCUGAGAGGAUGAUCAGCCAGACUGGGACUGAGACACGGCCCAGACUCCUACGGGAGGCAGCAGUUCAGAAUCUUGCACAAUGGGCGAAAGCCUGAUGCAGCGAUGCCGCGUGUGCGAAGAAGGCCUUCGGGUCGUAAAGCACUGUCAGAGGGGAAGAUAAUGACGGUACCCUCAAAGGAAGCCACGGCUAAUUACGUGCCAGCAGCCGCGGUAAUACGUAAGUGGCGAGCGUUAUCCGGAAUUACUGGGCGUAAAGCGUUCGUAGGCGGCGCAGCAAGUUGGAUUUUAAAGACCGGGGCUCAACUCCGGAAUCGGGUCCAAAACUGCCGUGCUAGAGCAAAUCAGAGGGUAGUGGAAUUCCCGGUGUAGCGGUAAUAUGCGUAGAGAUCGGGAGGAACACCAGUGGCGAAGGCGGCUACCUGGGGUUUUGCUGACGCUGAGGAACGAAAGCUAGGGGAGCGAACGGGAUUAGAUACCCCGGUAGUCCUAGCUGUAAACGAUGGACACUAGGUGUAGGGAGCUUCGACCCUCUCUGCGCCGGCGCUAACGCAUUAAGUGUCCCGCCUGGGGACUACGGCCGCAAGGCUAAAACUCAAAGGAAUUGACGGGGCCCCGCACAAGCAGUGGAGCAUGUGGUUUAAUUCGAUGCUACGCGAAGAACCUUACCAGGGCUUGACAUCCCGGUGACCGCUUUUGGAAACAUUAGCUUCCCUUCGGGGCACCGGUGACAGGUGGUGCAUGGCUGUCGUCAGCUCGUGCCGUGAGGUGUUGGAUUAAGUUCCGCAACGAGCGCAACCCUUAUUGUUAGUUGCCAUCAUUAAGUUGGGCACUCUAGCGAGACUGCCAGCGUCAAGCUGGAGGAAGGUGGGGACGACGUCAAGUCAUCAUGCCCCUUACGUCCUGGGCUACACACGUGCUACAAUGGGCGGUACAACGAGUUGCCACUUCGCGAGAAGGAGCGAAUCUCUUAAAGCCGUCCUCAGUUCGGAUUGCAGGCUGCAACUCGCCUGCAUGAAGCUGGAAUUGCUAGUAAACGUGGAUCAGCAUGCCGCGUUGAAUACGUACCCGGGGCUUGUACACACCGCCCGUCACACCAUGGAAGUUGGUAACACCCGAAGUCCGUGAGCUAACCGCAAGGAAGCAGCGGCCGAAGGUGGGACUAAUGACUGGGGUGAAGUCGUAACAAGGUAACC